rnacentral:rRNA from 1 species
CGCGUAGGCGGGUCGUUAAGUUAGAGGUGAAAGCCCAGGGCUCAACCCUGGAAUUGCCUUUAAAACUGGCGGCCUUGAGUAUGGCAGAGGUGUGUGGAACUCCGAGUGUAGAGGUGAAAUUCGUAGAUAUUCGGAAGAACACCAGUGGCGAAGGCGACACACUGGGCCAUUACUGACGCUGAGGCGCGAAAGCGUGGGGAGGCAAAACA